rnacentral:rRNA from 1 species
AUGAACGCUAGCUACAGGCUUAACCCCUGCAAGUCGCGGGGAAACGGCAUCGAAAGCUUGCUUUUGAUGGGCGUCGACCGGCGCACGGGUGAGUAACGCGUAUCCAACCUGCCCAUCACUUGGGAAUAACCUUGCGAAAGUAAGACUAAUGCCCAAUGACAUCCCACGAAGGCAUCCGAAUGGGAUUAAAGAUUUAUCGGUGAUGGAUGGGGAUGCGUCUGAUUAGCUUGUUGGCGGGGUGACGGCCCACCAAGGCAACGAUCAGUAGGGGUUCUGAGAGGAAGGUCCCCCACAUUGGAACUGAGACACGGUCCAAACUCCUACGGGAGGCAGCAGUGAGGAAUAUUGGUCAAUGGGCGAGAGCCUGAACCAGCCAAGUAGCGUGCAGGAUGACGGCCCUAUGGGUUGUAAACUGCUUUUAGAAGGGAAUAAAGUGGGUCACGUGUGACUUUUUGCAUGUACCUUAUGAAUAAGGACCGGCUAAUUCCGUG